rnacentral:rRNA from 1 species
GUCUAUGGCCAUACCACCCAGAACAUGCCUGAUCUCGUCUGAUCUCGGAAGCUAAGCAGGGUUGGGCCUGGUUAGUACUUGGAUGGGAGAAAGCAUCAAUGUUUGCAGUAAACU